UACAGAGGUCUCAAGCGUUGUUCGGAAUUACUGGGCGUAAAGGGUGCGCAGGCCGCGCGGGCAGUCAAAUGUGUAAUUCAGGGGCUCAACCCCUGCACUGCGCUUGAUACUUCCGCGCUCGAGCUUUGGAGAGGAGUCUGGAAUUCUCGGUGUAGCAGUGAAAUGCGUGGAUAUCGAGAAGAACACUUAGGGCGAAGGCAAGACUCUGGACAAAUGCUGACGCUGAGGCGCGAAAGCGUGGGGAGCAAACAGG
rnacentral:rRNA from 1 species